UCGAGUGUUACUACUCUCAACCCUUGUGAACCUUACCAGUCUGUUGCUUCGGCAGGCGAUCCCAGGGCGGGAUCGUAGCCUCCGUAAAAACGAGGCGCCUGUCAGAGGUAUUCUAAAUUCUGUUUUCAGUGGAUUUUAUUCUGAACAAAACCUAAAAGAUAA
rnacentral:misc_RNA from 1 species